GUGCAUUGAUCGUUAAAUCGACAUGAUUUUUAGCAUAAGUUGACAACUUCGCGGCCGGACAAUUUGCAACAAGAAAGAGAUUGUUCUACCCACGAGUUCUUCCGUUUAAAUUCCGUUGGUGCGUCGCUGGAUCUAACCUCAACGGCCACCACCGAGUGGCUUGUCUGACAACAAGCUAAUACAUGCAAGAUCAGUGUUUCCAUGUCAGGAUAUACCAGCUGUCAAAUUUAAAUACUCUGCAGAGAUAAAAGACACAAUACAUAAAUAGGAUUUAUAUGAAUUUUAUUCUAGUACCAAAAUCUUUUAGAGUCCUAAUGCCUGCAUGUUUAGAAAUGUACUUGAGAAUUCAGUCCAGGUCACAUAUGAAUUCUGUCAAGAGCAAUUAGUAUCAUCUUACGCAGUUGUUAUUGCUGUGGGUUCAAUCCGCUCCGCGGAGAUCACCACCGAGAUUGGUGCAGGUCGGUGAUACAUGUGAGAUUCAGAUGACAGUGAGUGAGUAAGUUCAUUGAAUCAUCAGGAUAACUAUUCAAUGAAAUAUUUCCACUCGUCUCCGAUAAUGGAGAAACACAUGACUUGUCAAGACCAACAUGUUCCGCAUUCGUAUCUUUUUCUGA